rnacentral:lncRNA from 1 species
GAGGUGGUGCCCAGGCCAACCAACCUGAGAAGCAAUCUGAACAUCAGCCAGGAGGAUUGGUUACUUUUUGGGUGCCUUGGUGGACCUUCCUGCCCUGGUGCUGUACUGAAAACUGACUAGGGGAGCUGAAGAAGUAUCAAAGCUGAGCUGGGACUGACAGUACUAAAGAGGCUUCAAGCUGGAACAGAAUGGAAUAGAUACCUUGAGUGUCCAUACGAUCAUAACAGUGGAUAUCAGACUUUCAGAAAGAUUGUUUUAAAGACUUCCCUUCUGUGCUGGAAGAAAGACCUGAUUGGGAGAAUUCAAAACGAGGUGAAGAAUUGGCAUCAAAAUGAAAGCCCGUGUGCUUAUGGAAAAACAACACAAAAAUAAAAGCAACCAGAGCAUAACAUUGCAGAGCUUGCUGUGGCAAAGAGAAACAGCUGAUGUCACUUGGUUUGGUAGAGAUGCACGGGCAGGUGGAAGAGUGUGAAGUUGCUGGAGUGGAGAAGGGCAGAAGCUUCGUGAUGGAAGGCUGUGGCAAGAAUGAGGGCCUGGUGUGGUUAGGGGCACACAUUCGUUUCUUUGCAAGAUGCAAGUACAACAGCAACAAUCAUGUUGUCUCUGUCUCCAUGUUCAGCUAUUUCCCUACCAUUAUCUGGUAAAUAGUACUGCCUAACAACUACUUGUAUGACAUUCUCAUUGUAUCUUGUGUUAAAAGAAAGCUAGAGUUGAUUUUCAAACACAUGACAACUGAAGUAAAAGAUUUGAG